CAGCAACUGCAAGUAUGUUCCUACAAGGACUGAAGGGCUUGUUAGAAAUUCAUUCCCACUUUCUCAUUGCCCAGAUGUCAGCAAACACAGUGGCAUUAAGGGCCUCAAGGCUUUGCUGAGAAGAUAGUGAGAAGUUCCCGAGCCAAGAGCUCUAGUGGGGCAGGCAGGUCCUACAAGCAGCAUGGUGUGCACAGCAGCUCUCCCUGCAGAGCCACUUUGGUUCUGCUCUGGAGGGAAUGCUCGAGGAGAAAGCUGCCCACCUUUGCCACGGCCACGGGUGUGAUGCUGGGGUCAGACCCAGCUGAACACUGCCUGCUUCAAUCCGACAGCAUAGCUCUUGUUUGCAAAGCACUCACAUGCCCUUGGCUGAUUUCUGCCCAAGAAUUUGUCAUCCUGAAGUGUUUGCUGGAUAAUUUGGACAUGAUUGCAGUCACCUCAUGCAGGGAGUGUACACAGCGGUCAGGCCACGAGCAUCUCACUUGAGUUCGUGAUCGAUCUGGGUUUGUACUGCAGACCCUAUGGUUGCUAUUUCAGACUGUGCCUUGCUCCCAGCCCUCAUGGGCUCAUCACCACCACUCCUUUUCUUCUUCCAGCAGCACGGGGCUCACAUGGACAUCUGAUGACAUUGGACACUGUGUUUCCUGUGUGUCUCACAGCACCCAUCAGGCCUUAGAUGGAAUUCAUCCAAAAGAAGGACAGGGAAAUCCUACUUUAGGAAGGUGCUAGGAGGACAUUCGCUCUUCCUUCCCAAAUCAAACCUGAAUGAAACUCUCCAUGGGAAAUUAGAACACGACAGUUUAUUAAAUCACAACUGACUGAACUCAGAGCAUCAAGAAAGACAGCAGCAGCCAAAAAAUAAAGUCACACAAACUGCAGAAGAAAACACUCAGCUGACACCAGCCUUUGGAGAGCUGGAUAUGCCCCUUUGUCAGCUGCAUGACCUUACAGCAUGGCUGGGAGGUUAUUCCCCUUGGAUCCAAGGUACCUUGCCCCAUUCUAAUACUGCUCUGAAGCAAUGAAAGCAAAAGUGUCAAUCCUUGCAGUUGCCCUGCAGGGUUCAGAGCAGUGUCCAGAGCAGUGCUGAGACCUGGGGCUGAAAGAGAGCACCCCCCCCCCCCCGGGCUGUAAAUCUCUGGAGGGAAAAAAUACUCUGUCAGUGCAUUGUUUGGCCCAAGGUUGUCAGGAAAUCAGCAGGGGAGAGGCACGAGGUGACAUAGAAAAAACAAUGGAAGGAGAAAGUUAACAAUAACAUGGGGUUUUUUUUGAACAGCAGGCUAUUUCUGACAGAAUUGGUGGAAGGUUCAGUGUGCUCCCUGAUGCAGGAACACAGCCGGGCCCCGGGGGUGCAGCCAGGUACCCCCAGCCCUGUGUGCUGCUGCAGUGGGUGGUGGAGCAUUGGGGAAACACUCAGAGCAGCACAGGGUUGCAGGGAAAGCUCUCAGGUCUUGUAGAGCACCUCCAUGAUGAAAUAGCAGGAUCUGGUGAACACUGCUGGCAGUUCCCUACAGGGCAGAGGUUCUUUCCAUGUACAGUUAGGCUUGAAUGGACCCAGGGGGGGGAGCAGAGUGGUUAUUAACAUCCUAAAACCAGGUGUGGGCCAGAACCACCCCACCCAGGUUUGCACUGGGAUCUGCAGGUGCCCGGCAUGCUGGGAUGAGCUGGAAAAUUGAAUACGAUUUUAAGUUAAUUAAAACUACUCUCUGUGUGUUAAUCUUCUUGUCAAGUUUUAAUUAAGUGCUGAUAAAAGCUCACCACAGGUGAGGUGGUCCUGACCUCCCCCAGCCAGGCAACCUGUGGUGUGGGGCUUCUUGUUAGCACAUCACUGGGUUACUGGGGGUCUCACUGGUGUUUUGUGCUGGGGGAAAGGAAGCCUGGAUUGGUGGGAACACCUAUGCAGGUGUGCAGCCACUUUCCUUUGAAGAAAGGAUGAAAUACAGCCAUUUUCUAGCCUGUGCUCCUCGCCAGCCUGGAGAGGCCCCCUGUCACUGCCCCCAAGCAUGGUGCUGCCCAUCUUCUGAUGUGAGGUACUGUAAUUCAGGCUCAUCUCAGAGUAAUGACCACCUUCUGCUGCAGGGAACGUCAGGGUGGGUUGGGCUCUAUGAGUGUUGUUCUGCUUCUCCCUAGGAGCAUCUCUGUGCGAAUGCAGUUGCAUGGGCUGGAGGAGGAAAGCUGUGCAGAACAGAGGCAAGCAAGGCAUGGGGAGCUGGGAAUACAGAGUGUGGAACAUAAGGAACGUGCCUGAGGUCCCGAUGGAUUUGGAGCGAUGUUAGCAGCCCAGUGUGCUCACAUCGACAGGGCAGAAGAAAGGUCUCUGCAGGGCAGCAGUGGCAGAGGGGUGUGGGACAGUUUGUUUCCUUCUCAUGGAGCAGUGCCAACCCUGUCUGGUGAGAACUGAAGGCAGCUUCCCUGCAGCAGCACAGAGCGGUGGGCAGGAGCUUUGGGCAUUGCGGUGCCCCCCGGGAGCCUCCUUCAGGAAGGGGCAGAGCCAAUCCCACCCCCUUUUUUAUUUUAUCCCUAUAAAAUCCCCCACUCUAACGAUGCAGGAAUAAUUUUUCCUCUUUUGGAGAAGCUGCUUGCCUGGAUAAUAUCUCCCUAAAGUGGACAAGGUGAUCCUGCACCAGCUCCAGCCGUUCCUCUCCCUGUUAGUUAACGAGCGCAGGCUGGAGAGCAGCAUUUCUAGCAGCUCAGCUGUCUCUUAUGACCCUUUUUUUCAAUGCCAGACAAUCUCAUUUUGCAGCAAUUAUCUCAAUCAUUGACCAUAGAUUGAGCCAAAUAGUUCCUUGCUAUAAAUUCCUGUAAAUAUUUCCAUUGCCGAGUUGACAUUUCCCUCUGAACUGACAAUUAAGCCAUCUUUGCACAGAUAUUACCAUUACAUCUAACCUCUAUUGAUUCCGUUUUUACAUUUUUUUUUUAUAGGCAGCAUGUUUCCCACUCUGCACACAAGUCUCACCUAAGCUUUUCCUUGUGUUUUUAAGGUCCCUAACCAAAAUUAAAGACAUUUCCCGUUGUAACUUACAACACCUUGUAAUGCUUCUAAAGCGCCACAGAUAGUCUUUGAAAUAUCUCAGGACCAAUCGAGUGCACAAAUGGAAUUAAGCGUUCCUGGUUUAGAGCCUGAGUCAUGAAGUCGAGUGGCCAAAGCGUUUCUCCUGCCUCAGGUUUCCCAGCUCAGCACAGCUCUCCUUUUGAAGCCCUGGGAACACAGAGGUGUGGCCCUGAGCAGAGGAGCUGGACAGGAACACUUCUCUCACAUUGUCCUUGGUGAGGGGAUGACAUUUAAUUGCUGCCAUUGUUCCCAGGCACGAGGCUGCACCAGCAUCACCAGUAUUAGUAGACAGUGGACAGGCAGCGUUCCUCCUGGUGCACAGUGACCGUCCCCUCCUCCCAGCCUGGGGUUGCCUGCGAUGGAGUCUGGGUGCCAACCCUCACCCACAGCCCUCCUCCAGCCGCAGAAACGAGGAGCAGAGUCUGACUAUUGUUAUGUUUGAGUAAAUUAACAGUCCUCUUCAGCAGACUCCCAGAACUCUGACUACCCAGGCUCAUUUACCAGCGUUAUCUGUGCCAGCGCAGAGCCCAUUGCCCCCUGCCCCUCCCCACAGCACAGCCCCACUGCCCUAUAGAGCAGACAGGACCCAGCAGUGCUCAUGGACUUCCUCAGCACAGCUCUCACCCCUGUCUGCAUGCACACACACACAAGCACACUCCCUCAGUGGAUACACGGAAGUUGUCCUGCAAUGCUUUGCAGCCCCCCAGCAAUAUGCAGGACCACAUUCCUGCCCACUGACCAGCAACCCAGGGGCUGCCCAGCACGCUCACCUCGCCGUGUGGUGCCUGAGGCCCCACUGCUGCUGUGCUGAAGCUGCUCCGCCAAAUCUCCCACAUCUUGGCCGAGCUGAGCUCCCAGGCCAGCCAGAUUUCUUAUGCUUAGCAAAAAUAUUCAUUAACGACUUAAUCUGCACACACACAGGGGAAGCUUUUAGUGUAUUUGUUCUAGGUCCGUGAAACAGUGAUCUGGCCACUGCUUUAAACUCUGCCUUGAUCUGUGAUCUCAGAGAUGAAGAAUUCAGCAAAAUGCUGCUGGGGGAGAUGUCCCAGAGCAUCCCCUGUGCUCACACUGCAGCGUAACCGCGGACACGCACCGCUCGACCCAGAAAGCGCGUGUUGCAAGAAUGUGCUUUGAGCCACAGCUCAUGGGCAAGGCCAUGGGACCAGCUGUGCUCUUGGUGUUUGUUUGCCAGCUUUGGGAUUUGUGUCACAAACUCCGUGUCAUUUGUGUCCCAGCUGCUGAAAGCACGGAGGAAGCAGAUGAAAGCCUUUCGCAUCUGCUCCCUGGGAGUGCCGGAGUUCCCCACAUGCCACCUUUAACUGCUCCUCUGAUGGCUUUGGGUCUGAGGGCUCUGGGGUCAGCAGCACUGUGGAGUCCUACACUGGGGAAGGAUUUGGCAGAAUGCAGAGGGUGAGACUCUUGGCCCUGGCUUACAUGGAGGGAGAGUGGGAUGGGAGCACGUGAGCCCAUGUCAAGGCACUGCGCUGAUGCCACAGGGGAAGAUGGCUCUGACUGCAGCACCCAGCCAUGUAGGUGCUUUGUGGCUGCCAUGUGAGCACAGCCAGGGCUCAGAAACAUCCUGCUUCUCAAGGCAUGUGCUGAGAGAGCUGAGAUGCUCCUAUGGGACAGCACGGAACCCACGGACUGAAAAAAGGCAGUGACAAUUGAUGUCCCCCUUCCCGCUCCCUCCACAGACUGUUAUGUCUGAUGCUAACCUGUUACAGCUGAUAACAGUCGCAAAUGCUGCUGCUGCUUUCAUAAAAAUUCGUGGGAUGCCAGAUUAUUUCCACGCGCAAUGGAAAACCUGGGGCCGUGUCGCAUGGCCUUCUGCCCAAACAUCUCCACCACAGCCGCUGUGGAAAUGGGGCUGGGAAUGCCUUGAGGCUGGGGCUGCCCAAAGUACUGACCGCUGGCUGAGGACGGAGGGACAGAUGGACACACAGCUCCUAUAGGAGAUUCUAAGCACCGGGGGAACUCCAUGGACACAUCCCGAUGGAAGCUGAGUUCCUCAGUCCCAUGGGAACAUCCGGAGCGUGUUCCAGCCAACAGCCCCUGUGCCUUGAGCAGGAUGUGCUCCCACGGAGCAGCGCGGGGAGGGCGAGGAGAGAGCAGUUGGCAGGAGCGCAGCUGCGGCUCGGUGUGAGUUUCUGGGGGGAUUUUUAUAGGGGGAAGGCUGAUGAGUAAUAAACAAGGUGCUGCCUGAUUCUUGUUUGGAGGAAAAAGGGGAGGGAGAGAGGGGCUGAGGGGAAGAGAGAAGCACAGGGAAGAGGAGAAGGAGAAAGAAAUGACCUUGGUGAGCUUUUCUGGCUGCUCUCCAGGUAGCAGACUGAUGCCAAAAAAAUCUCCGAGUCCCUUUUGGCUGGAAGUACGCUCCCUGCGUUAGGUGAAUCACACACACAUUUCUGGAACAUUACAUGUUCACAGUUGCAAAGCUCACAGUAAUUAGAAAAACUACAAGACCAAGGCAGGGGGAAAACUAUGAGUCACACAUGGAAGCAGUGUUAUUGUGCUGCAGGAGGAUCAGCUUUGCAGACUGCCGAAGGUAAGCGUGCAUCGGCUGCACCCUGCCCUGCCUGGGGUGUGCAGGGCUGUGCGUGCACAGAGGGGCUGAGCUGCAGCCAGGUGGGGUGUGAGGUUCACAUGGAAUGGCCCUGGACAAUGGAUUGCUGCUGAGGCUCUUCACUUUCUGCAGGGAUGUUCUCACCCACAGUCAGAGCGCUGCCCACAUUGAGCAUCAUCCACAUCCAACCUUGAAUUUCACCAUUCCAAAAUAAGCUCUUCUUACUGCAGAUGGAGAGCUGUAAUGCCAGGAUCUGCUCACAAGGAGUUAUUUCAGUGCAGCACCCUGCACUGGUGGGUGCACAGCUGCCGCCAGGCUACGUGUGACCAGGAGCCCACUCUCUGGCACGUACCUGCAGCAGGGGGUGACUGACCAACCGCCCACUGCUGCUCUGCAUUGAGUUGGUGGGAGAGCCCCCAGCAGCCCCCUGCAUUCAAGGGGGUUUCAUAAAUCACGCAGACAGUCUUGUUUCAAAUGAACCAAUGGAUGGAGCUUUUAUCCCUUUCUUUGCAUGACCCUUCUGCUGGUAUUCAUUAACAGCACAAAGGGUGCUUUAACCUAGGAGCAAACCGGGCUCUUCUCUGUUUAGUUAACUCUCCUCCUGAGUCCUCCCAUUUGGCACAGGCAGAGCCAUGCUCCUUGUGCGUGCAUUGCCUUGUGUUGGGUUACUCUGCAUCACGUUGCAUUCUGUUGUGUACUGCGCUGCACCGCCUUGCAUCGUGUCGCAUCGUGUCACAUUGCAUCAGAUCAUCAGAUCAUACUGCACGACAUCCUGUUGCCUUGCAUGGCCUGGCAGCGUGUUGCAUUACAUCACGUUGCACCUUUGGGUGAGCUCUCAGCUGUGUCGCUGCCUGGUUCCUGAGCAGCAUGAGCUCCCGCCAGCCCAGACGCAGUGCUCCCAGAUCAGCCUUGUCCAGCAGCUAUGGGCAGAGAGGGCUGCCAGCGGUCAGCGGAGCCUCCAUUCAGGGAAGGCCAAGGAGUGGAUUACGCAGCAGAUGAUGAAGCGAUGCUAUGGACAAACCGCCCAAACACGAAAUCUUCCUGCAAUACUCCAAGACAGAUUGUUACACAUCUCUGCCAAGAAAUCAAACAUUCCUGCUAGAGUCAGGGCUUUCACAGAAGCCCCCUCCGAGACAUCAAGUGAGGCUAAGACAACAGUCCAGAGCUUUGCUAGCAAAUCAUGAGUCCCGAGUGUCUCUCCAGCUGGCAGGACCAUCACUGACCUGAAUGGCCUUGUCCUCCCCGAAGCAGCUCUGUCAAUUUGGCCACAAUCCACUUAAUAAUGUAGCUAGAGUAUAAAGAUGUAUCCAGGCCCAACCACAAAACAGCUGGAGUCUGUAGGGUUGACUUAAUCCUGGUAGAAUAAAACAGGGAAACUAGUGGGAGUCAGUGAGGAUGUUGCUGGCUGGGCUUGGAGCAGUGCUGAGUAAUAAAAGGGAUCAAAUGUGUUAGGCGCAAGCUGUCUGGAGCCUCAGUUGUUGUUGUUGUUUUAACUAAUUGAAUUUUAGUGCUGGUGAAAGGUACCAGAUUGACAGCUCUGGGGAGCGGUGUCUGCUUCUCACACCAGGUACAGAACAGUCAGCCCCCUCUUAAUUCCCAUCUUGGCCCAGACCCCGUGCUUUCCUCUCCUGGGGAAGGCCCCUGACAUCUUUCCUCGUGCAGCUGGGACCUGCACCAGGGCUCUCUGCAUGUCCCACUGACCUGCUUGGCCGUGUGGAGGUGCUUCAGGUCUGGGAGGACAGAAAAAGCAAUGGGCACAAGGAUCGUGAUCAUGCCUGGAAAGGGCUGGGCAACUGCAGGGGCUGUCUUGGGGUGGAGUGAUGUUGAAGGCUCACGCUGUUCAGGGUAAGAAUUCCACUUUAGCCAGCUCCCAGGAAGGGCCAUGCAGGGCUGUGACUGGGUGGGAAUGCUGGAGCUGGGGCUGGAGGGUGAGGGCAGGAGCAGCAUCUCAGAGAGGAUCAGCGGCUGCAUCCCUGGGGGUGCUGGAAAGGGGUGCAGCUGCAUGCAGGUGCUGGGUGGCGCAGGCAGAGACACUGCAGGGCUUCACCCCCCUUCUGUGAGGCAGGGACAGCAGGGACAGUCCUCGCCUGGUCAGUGCUGCAGGGUCUGUCACUCUGUGCUUUUACCCAGUGGGUGUAUGACAGCCAGAAGACACCUGCACCAUGCAGGGCUCUGCAAGUUGGGGUGAGUCUGGCCCUGGGCUAUGCAGGGCCAUAUGCAGGCAGCAGCAGCACCAGAGACCCUCUGUUCCAGCAAGCACACUCAUGGUAGCAGCUUCCCAGGGCUGGCUGCUUGCAGGACACCUUGUCAGCCCUGCUCUGUAAAUAGCUGGGAAGCAGCCCAGCAGGAAGCUGCAGGCUUUUGGAGAGGAGAAGGGAAGGGCUGGGCUUCAGCGCUGCAAAGUCCUGGUCAGAGGGGGCUGGUGGGGCCAGGCAA